AUUGAACGCUGGCGGCAUGCCUUACACAUGCAAGUCGAACGGAAGCACGGGAGCAAUCCUGGUGGCGAGUGGCGAACGGGUGAGUACUGUAUCGGAACGUGCCCAGUCGUGGGGGAUAACGUAGCGAAAGCUACGCUAAUCCCGCAUACGAACUGUGGCUGAAAGCGGGGGACCGUAAGGCCUCGCGCGAAUGGAGCAGCCGAUAUCAGAUUAGGUAGUUAGUGGGUUAAAGGCCUACCAAGCAGACGAUCUGUAGCUGGUCUGAGAGGACCACCAGCCACACAGGUACUGAGACACGGCCCAGACUCCUACGGGAGGCAGCAGUAGGGAAUUUUGGACAAUGGACGCAAGCCUGAGCCAGCAAUGCCGCGUGCAGGAUGAAGGCCUUCGGGUUGUAAACUGCUUUUGUACGGAGCGAAAAGGCUCUCUCUAAUACAGGGGGCUCAUGACGGUACCGUAAUAAUAAGCACCGGCUAACUACGUGCCAGCCGCCGCAGUAA
rnacentral:rRNA from 1 species